CCCAACCCCAGACUGCAAGUAGCCACUCAUUCAUUCCACAAAUACUCUCUGAGGGCCUGUUCUAUGCAGGCUAUGUGCCAAGGGUUUACACCCUAGGAGCAGUGCCACCCCAGUAUCUGUCCCCCGUGACCAGUGACUGCCCCUCCUCUAUAAUAUCUAUUGACUGACCUCUCUGACCUCACCUCAUUUCUUUCCUCCAGUGCCCCGGCUCCAGCAGUCCAUGGAUCCUGCCCCCUUUGCAUGUCCCUCAGCCUGCCUGCCCUCCGUGUCCUUCCUGCCCAGCCUACAAUUCAUGGUCAGGCCCCACCCCCACCCCCUCCUGCGGUCCUGACAAAACCCCAACACUGGUCAGUCCCACUGCUCCACCUCCACCGCAUCUCACCUGCACUUGCGCAGCUCAAUGUCACACCACCUUGCCAGCUGCUUCCCUUUCAACUCAUGACACAAAACCCAAGAGGGCCCUUAGUGGAUGUCAGGAUCAGUCACUGUCCCCAUGACCCUUGCACCCCUCUUUUCUCCUCUCUAUAAAAUAAGGGUGAUAAUAUUUCUGUCUCCCGGGGCUGUUGGCAGCAUCAGUAGUAGGUCCUUGCUCGGGGGCAGCUACUGGGGUUAGUUCCUCUGGUGCUCAGUCCAAGAGUUCCCUGGUGUCUUGGUGUCCGCGGAGUCCCACCCUGCGGUCAUUUAUUUUGUUCCGCUGGUUGGGCAGGCCUGGGCUCUCUGCCAGAUCUGAUCAUCCUCCCAGAGACAGGAGGGAACGGAAUGUGGCACCAGGCAGUAAGACGCAUGGCUGAGCUCAGCAGGAGAGGGAAGCUUCCAACUUCCUGCAGCGAAUGUCCUAGGUGAUAGGUCAAGUCUGACCCCGCCAGUGAGGCCAACAUGGAAACUUACUAGGGCCUCGAAAAGGUGUGUGUGGGAGUUCAGAGAGGAGUGGAGACAGCCGGCCUCCCAAUCUGGACCCACAGGGCAGGGCAGGGAGAGGAGAUGGCCCCGCCUCCAGGAAUCCAGGCUGCACCUCCCUCCAGGGAACUCAGAUCAAAGCCAGGAGGAAGGAGGAGUGUGAACUUUGCACCCAGUGACUCACUGCAUCCCCCUAGGGCAAGUGCUCUCACCCGUGCAGAAUCCUGCCCUCCUUGCCACUGACGGGACCAUCCGCACUGGGUCAGCCUAUGAGCAACACUGACCUGAUUCACCUGCACGCCUUCAUUCCCCCACCUUCAUCCUCCUCCUCGCAGAGGUGAUCAGAUGUUUGCAGGUGCCUGCCUGUGUUUACAAAAUCCAUCCCAGGAAACCACAUGACAUUUGGUCAUCUGCCAUUGCAUUCCUUUACGUGUAUGAUCAAGGCCCUUCCGGUAACCCGUUGCCUUGGCAAUGUUAUCACCAACCUUUUUUGGAGACAGACCCAGGGGGCCGAUCUUGGGGGCCAGCGCAGAAGCAGCGACUUCACCUCCAGUGCACCUCAGCCUCACUGCCACCCUGCGUGGUGCGUGGGCCGGAAUGACCCUUCCCCUCUUGCAGUUUGGAGAAGUUGAGGACCCGUGUGAACCCUGAAAUCAUUCAUGCCCGGGCUCCCCGUUCGCCAGCCCAUGCUGCCCUCUAGUGGUUGUGUGCGCACCUGCCUUUAGGGAGUCCAGGACAGCCGGGACAACCAGCUCAUCUGCAGACAGCAGUGGCCAGCCUUCCCAGGCUGCGCAGGGGACCCUAGGCAGGGACCGUCCCCCUCAGGACCCUUCCAGCACUGCAUGCCUUCACCAGCUCCUCUUCCUGUCUCGCAGCAUCUGGUUUAGAUGCAUAGAUAGAUGUAUUAUAUACGUAUAUUUUAAUUGUGCUAAAAUACAUGUAAAAUUUACCAUCGCAACUAACUGUACGGUUUCAUGGCAUUAAGUACCUUCACACUGUUGGGCAACCAUCACCACCAUACAUCUCCAGAACUAUUUUUUUUUUUAAGACAAAGUCUUACUGUGUCACCCAGGCUGGAAGCGCAGUGGUGCAAUCUUGGCUCACGACAACCUCUGCCUCCUGUGUUCAAGUGAUUCUCCCACGUCAGCCUCCCAAGUAGCUGGAACUACAGGUGCCCGCCACUCCACCUGGCUAAUAUUUUAUUUUAUUUUAUUUUUGAGACAGACUCUCUCUCUGUCGCCCAGGCUGGAGUGCAGUGGCGCGAUCUCGGCUCACUGCAAGCUCCGCCUCCUGGGUUCAGACCAUUCUCCUGCGUCAGCCUCCCGAGUAGCUGGGACUACAGGCGCCUGCCACCACACCCGGCUAAUUUUUUGUAUUUUUAGUGGAGACAGGGUUUCACCCUAUUAGCCAGGAUGGUCUCAAUCUCCUGACCUCGUGAUCCGCCCGCCUCGGCUUCCCAAAGAGCUGGGAUUACAGGCGUGAGCCACCGCGCCCGGCCCCUACCUGGCUAAUUUUUGUAUUUUUAGAGAGACAAGGUUUCACCAUGUUGGCCAGGCUGGUCUCGAACUCUGGCCAGCUUUUUUUUUUUUUUUUUUUUGACAGGGUCUCACUCUGUCACCCAGGCUGGAGUGCGACUUCGACCUCCCAGGCUCAGAUGACCCUCUUACCUUAACCCCUAGAGUAGCUGGAACUACAAGCGCAUGCCACCAUGCCUGGCUAAUUUUUUGUAGAGACAGGGUUUUGCCAUGUUGCCCAGGCUGGUCUUGAAUUCCUGGGCCCCAGCGAUUCGCCUGCCUUGACCUCCCAAAGUGCUGGGGUUACAGGCGUGAGCCACUGCGCCCAGCCUCCAGAACGCUAUUCUCCUUCCCAAACUGAAACUCUGCCCCCAUUAAACACUAAGCUCCUCAUUCCUAUUUCCCCCCAGUUCCUGGAAACCUCUGUUCUACAUUGUCUUUAUGAAUCUGACUAGAUACUCAUAUAAGUGGAAUCAUACAGUGUCUGUCCUUUUGUGUCUGCCUAUUUCACUGAGCACAAUGUUGUCAAGGUGUAUUCACAUUGUGGCAUGUGUCAGAAUGCCAUCCUUUUUUUUUGUUUGUUUUUUUGAGAUGGAGUCUCACUUUGUUGCCCAGGCUGGAGUGCAGUGGCACGAUCUCAGCUCAUCACAACCUCUGCCUCCUGGGUUCAAAUGAUUCUUCUUCCUCAGCCUCCCCAGUAGUUGGGACUACAGGUGUGUGCCACUAUGCCUGGCUAAUUUUUGUAUUUUUAGUAGAGACGGGGUUUUACCAUGUUGGCCAGGCUGAUCUUGAACUCCUGAUCUCGUGAUCCGCCUGCCUCAGCCUCCCAAAGUGCUGGGAUUACAGGUGUGAGCCACCACGUGUGGCCUUUUUUUUUUUUUUUUUAGACGGAGAUCUCGCUCUGUCACCCAGGCUGGAGUGUAAUGGCACGAUCUCGGCUCACUGCAACCUCCGCCUCCUGGGUUCAAGCGAUUCUCCUGCCACAGCCUCCUGAGUAGCUGGGAUUACAGGCGUGCACUACCACAGCUGGCUAAUGGCUAAUUUUUGUAUUUUUAGUACAGAUGGGAUUUCACCAUUUUGGCCAGGCUGGUCUCGAACUCCUGACCUCAAGUGAUCCACCUGCCUCAGCCUCCCAAAGUGCUGGGAUUACAGAUGUGAGCCACCGCACCCAGGCUGCCAUCCUUUUUAAGGUUGAAGAAUCUUCCAUUGUCUGGAGAGACCACAUCUUGUCAUCCGUUCUUCUGUUCAUGGACACUUGGUUCCUUCCCCCUUUUGGCUAUUGUGAGUAAUGCUGAUAUGAACAUGGGUGCACAAAUAUCUCUUUGAAUCUAGAGAAUAUAUUUUAUCUUUGCCAGUAAGUGUACCCAAAGGGAAGGGAAAUCAUCUUUGCCUGGGGUGUUCUGAUUGUGCCUACAUGUGGCAGGCGCCCUCCAAGUGAGAGCAGAGAAAAGGAUGAAAAGAGGAAUGAAAAGAAGAAUGAAGGUUGGUUGGGAGGGUUGGGGUGGGGGAGGUGAAUACACACUAUUGAGUGCUCCCUAGAAGCAUCCCCUUAUGGAAUGGAAUGAUUUUUACAUGGGCAGCCCGAAAAGCAGAGGCAUCUCCUAGAAUUUCAUCCAGGUAACACCCCUCCAAAUACACUCAAACAGAAGCAUGCUAGGACAUGAGGAAUUACAACAAGGCUAUAUAUACACACACACACACACACACACACACACACACACAUAUGCAUAUAUAUACACAUAUACAUACAUAUAUACAUAUAUGGACAUGUAUAUACACACAUAUACAUAUAUAUACGCACACACACAUAUAUAUGGUUUUUUUGUUGUUUGUUUAUAUGGUUUUUUUGUUGUUUUGUUUUGUUUUUUGAGACGGAGUUUUGCUCUUGUUGCCCAGGCUGGAGUGCAAUGCCGUGAUCUCGGCUAACCACAACCUCCGCCUCCCAGGUUCAAGCGAUUCUCCUGCCUCAGCCUCCCGAGUAGCUGGGAUUACAGGCAUGCGCCACCACACCUGGCUAAUUUUGUAUUUUUUGUAGAGACAGGGUUUCUCCACAUUGGUCAGGCUGGUCUCAAACUCCCAACCUCAGAUGAUCCGCCCUCCUUGGCCUUCCAAAGUGCUGGGUAUAUAGGCAUGAGCCACCACGUCUGGCCUAAGAAGGUUAAAGUCAAAAGCAACACCACUCAGCAGCUGUCCUGAACACGCAUCUCAGGGCCACCCACACAAAUGAGAAUGUCUCCUGCAGCUGCUGCUGCGUCGCCCCCAAUCACAGCUGUAGAUAUAAAGGGAUCGAGUCACUGAACCAUACAAUCACCCCGCUUUCUGACAGCACACAUCCAGAGCAAACCCACACUUCCUUAAAUCUUUCUCCAAAUCCGAUACCAGCACUAACACUGCUUUUGGAGAUGCCCUGGCUUCCCCGUGCUGUGUGGCCUCCCUUGCCACAGCAAGCAUAAUAAACCCAAAUUUGUUGACUGCAGGCGUGUUCCUGGUGGUCUGAUUGACAGGCAUCAACGUGACCAUGGAGGGAGUGACGGCUAGAGAAUUUCAGGGUUCACAAGAUGAAGCCAGUGACUCAUGAACUAAGCUGAAAUCUCUCAGCCUAAUACUUCCCUUUCUCUCACAGCAACUCUCCAUGAUAGAUUAGAACUGUUCCAACUUGGCUGGGCAUGGUGACUCACGCCUGUAAUCCCAGCUAUUUGGGAGGCCAAGGUGGGAGGAUUGCUUGAGCCCAGGAGUUUGAGACCAGCCUGAGCAACAUAGUGGGACUCCAUCUCUAUUUAUUUAUUUAUUUAUUUUGAGAUGGAGUUUUGCUCUUGUUGCCCAGGCUAGAGUGCAAUGGCGCGAUCUCAGCUCACUGCAACCUCCACCUCCCAAGUACAAGGGAUUCUCCUGUCCCAGCCUAUCAAGUAGCUCAUAUUACAGGCAUGUGCCACCAGGCCCGGCUAACUUUUUUGUAUUUAGUAGAGAUGGGGUUUCAUCAUGUUAGUCAGGCUGGUCACGAACUCCUGACCUCAGGCUAUCUACCCGCCUUGGCCUCCCAAAGUGCUGGGAUUACAGGCAUGUGCCACCGUGCCUGGCCUCUUUUUUUUUUUUUUUUGAGACGGAGUCUCGCUCUGUCACCAGGCUGGAAUGCUAUGGCGCAAUCUCGGCUCACUGCAACCUCCGCCUCUCAGGUUUAAGCAAUUCUCUUGCCUCAGCCUCCUGAGUACCUGGGAUUACAGGUGCGCACCAACACACCCAGCUAAUUUUUUUGUAUUUUUAAUAGAGUCGGGGUUUCACCAUGUUGGCCAGGAUGGUCUUGAUCUCUUGACCUCGUGAUCUGCCUGCCUUGGCCUCCCAAAGUGUUAAAAUUACAGGCAUGAGCCACCAC
rnacentral:lncRNA from 1 species